rnacentral:rRNA from 1 species
CACGUAGGGGGCGAGCGUUGUCCGGAUUUAUUGGGCGUAAAGAGCUCGUAGGCGGCUCGGUAAGUCGGGUGUGAAACCUCCAGGCUCAACCUGGAGACGCCGCCUGAUACUGCUGUGGCUAGAGUCCGGUAGGGGAGUGUGGAACUCCUGGUGUAGCGGUGAAAUGCGCAGAUAUCAGGAAGAACACCAGCGGCGAAGGCGGCACUCUGGGCCGGAACUGACGCUGAGGAGCGAAAGCGUGGGUAGCAAACAGG